AGAGUUUGAUCAUGGCUCAGAAUGAACGCUGGCGGCGUGUUUAAGACAUGCAAGUCGCACGGGAUUGAUUGAGUAGUAAUACAAGAUCAGUCUAGUGGCGCACGGGUGAGUAACAUGUGAAUGACAUGCCCUUCAGUGGGGAAUAGCCCAGGGAAACUUGGAUUAAUACCCCAUGGUAUCGCAAGAUUAAAGAUGGCCAGCAAUGGCUGUCGCUGAAGGAUUGGUUCGCACCCUAUCAGCUUGUUGGUGAGGUAAUGGCUCACCAAGGCUACGACGGGUACCUGGUCUGAGAGGACGAUCAGGCACACUGGAACUGAGACACGGUCCAGACACCUACGGGUGGCAGCAGUCGAGAAUAAUUCACAAUGGGGGCAACCCUGAUGGUGCAACGCCGCGUGGAGGAUGAAGGUCUUCGGAUUGUAAACUCCUGUCAUCUGGGAGUAAGACCUGGCUGUAAAUAGCAGACAGGGUUGAUAGUACCAGAAGA
rnacentral:rRNA from 1 species